UACGUAGGCAGCAAGCGUUGUUCGGAGUUACUGGGCGUAAAGGGUGCGUAGGCGGUCCUAUAAGUAUGGUGUGAAAUCUCCCGGCUUAACUGGGAGGGUGCGCUAUAGACUGUGGGACUAGAGUGUGGGAGAGGAAAGUGGAAUUCCUGGUGUAGCGGUGAAAUGCGUAGAUAUCGGGAGGAACACCAGUGGCGAAGGCGACUUCCUGGCCUGUUCUUGACGCUGAGGCGCGAAAGCUAGGGGAGCAAACGGG
rnacentral:rRNA from 1 species